GCGCCUGCGGCGGGCCCGGCGCGGAUCAUAAGCUACGACUUCGCAGGCAGUCGAUCCGCGUACGGUCCGGUACAGCCCGGAAUUUUCCGGGAUUUAACGUCUUCU
rnacentral:sRNA from 1 species